rnacentral:rRNA from 1 species
UGUAAAGCACUUUCAUGGGGAAGAUUUAAGAUUGCUAAUAUCAAUUUUAAUUGACGUUACCCAUAUAAGAAGCACCGGCUAACUCCGUGCCAGCAGCCGCGGUAAUACGGAGGGUGCAAGCGUUAAUCGGAAUUACUGGGCGUAAAGAGUUCGUAGGCGGUUUAUUAAGUCAGAUGUGAAAUCCCUGAGCUUAACUUAGGAACUGCAUUUGAAACUGAUAAGCUAGAGUUUCGUAGAGGGAGGUAGAAUUCCAGGUGUAGCGGUGAAAUGCGUAGAGAUCUGGAGGAAUACCAGUGGCGAAGGCGGCCUCCUGGACGAAAACUGACGCUCAGGUACGAAAGCAUGGGGAGCAAACAGGAUUAGAUACCCUGGUAGUCCAUGCCGUAAACGAUGUCGAUUUGAAGGUUGUAACCAUUGAGUUGUGGCUUUCGGAGCUAACGCGUUAAAUCGACCGCCUGGGGAGUACGACCGCAAGGUUAAAACUCAAAUGAAUUGACGGGGGCCCGCACAAGCGGUGGAGCAUGUGGUUUAAUUCGAUGCAACACGAAGAACCUUACCUACUCUUGACAUCCAAAGAACUGUGUAGAGAUAUGCAGGUGCCUUCGGGAGCUUUGAGACAGGUGCUGCAUGGCUGUCGUCAGCUCGUGUUGUGAAAUGUUGGGUUAAGUCCCGCAACGAGCGCAACCCUUAUCCUUUGUUGCCAACGAGUUAAGUCGGGAACUCAAAGGAGACUGCCGGUGAUAAACCGGAGGAAGGUGAGGAUGACGUCAAGUCAU